UAAUUUAUAUAUUUCACCUAACAAAGUGGAAUGCUACCUCUAAGCACAGAAAUUGUUCUCUCACCCAAUAUGGACAGAAUAAUUGCCCACUUGCUAAUGUAGUGAGAAAACUUUAUUUAUUAUUCUCUCCAAUUGUGAGAAUCAUAAAGUUUCCUCUGAAGUAGAUAAUGCAUGAGUGCUCUAAGCAUAAAAAGCAAUGCAUAAGAAAUCUUAUAUUUCUUUUACUUUUAGCUUACUGUCCUCCGGGCCAAUUAAAUUUUCGUGCUGUAAUCUGUAUUAAUUGGAGGUUAGGUCAAAUAUCCCCUCUUUAAAUUUGCAUUUUUUUUUUUUUAAUUUCAGAAUGAAUGAUACCCCAAUCAAGUGCUGCUUCGAUUGAAAAACAAGUUAUGCACGCAUUUGCGAAUUAAAUUUUAGCGAGGUAAUUCAACAAACACUAAAUUGAUUUCUUAUUCAGAUGAGUAGGUCCUGAUACAAAUCCUAAGCAUAUACAGCAUACAAGCAUAGGAUAACAUAACAACCUAAAGAUGAAAAGAACCCAAGGAGUGGGGGGAUGGGGCAUCGAUCCAAUUGCAAAACCUGUUAUUGCAUUAUUCAGCCGCAGAUGAAUGUAAUACGGUUACAUGUCGGAAAGCGUUGAAGAUUUGCCAUGAACAACAUAAAGAGUAUAUUCCAAAACAACAUGUCCUGUGGCCAAAUCUACGGAAUAAGUACUCGUAAUGGCGUGUCCCUUUACCAAUCGGAAAUCACCAGUGCCACCAACAAUGGCAUAUUCACGUUUAUCCGUUACAGCGUUUCUUCCCAACAUAGUGAUUACGCUUCCAUUGUAAGUUCCGGCCUUGAACACAACAUUGAGGUUCAUAAGCGGUGCCGAUUCNNNNNNN
rnacentral:lncRNA from 1 species